CAGAACUAUACUGUGUUCUGUCACCAGAGACCUAAAACACAGAAGGAGAAACCACAAAAAGUGAAUGUGUGCAUGAAAAGCUGUCUCAAGGCCGUUGGACAGAACUUCACCAUGGAAGACGAGGCAUCACAGGAAAAUUUGCCAUAUUGGGAAAAUGUGUCAACAGGUGUGUUAAAACAUGGAAAAUCAGCUGCUGUGAAAGUCCAGCAAAUCUCAGAUUCUCCAUCAGGAACUUCUGAAGAAGACCGCCAG